GCCGUGUCGGGUCCGUCCCCUUCCGAUUCGGGAACUCGGGCGGGACCUGAUCGCCGCCAGCUCAAUUCGGCGGGGAUCUCAGGCAAGUUGUUGCCCAGCCAGCCUAUAUGAGUCUCUGCGCACCACUAUCUUCGCCAUACCCCGUGCAACCGCCUCGCUGCAACCGCCGAGAUACCCGGCGACUGCAGAGGGCCGUACGCCGAGCGCAACGGGAGGAACAACGAUACACUGUCGUCUACAGGCGAGAAGGACCACCCUCCGUGCUCGGUGUGCGUGCUGGGUAAUCCCCGGAGUGCCCUGAGCGCGGAUGUCACCGAUUGUGGUGGAAAGCGGGACUGGGUCGGGUGGAAUUCCUCGACGGAGUUGUCUUCACCGCCAAGCCGCCCCUCACGCCGACCAGAUCCCUGCAUCCCCCUCCACCG
rnacentral:lncRNA from 7 species